rnacentral:lncRNA from 1 species
CUCAAAGUGAUCCUCCUGCCUCAGCCUCCCAAAGUGCUGGGAUUACAAGAUUGAACCACUGCACCCGGCUGACUCUUUAGUUAUUUAAAGCAGAGUAUUUAAUCCUUAUCAUUGAUGGGAAACUAUAAUUUUAAUCAAAACUUGUAAUCUACCCUCCCCCACCAAGACAAAAUCUUUAGCACAUUUUUACAUGUUUUUAACUUCCAAGGAUUUCUCGCCUCCUGAUUGUUCUUUUUUCACAAUAACCUAUUGUUGUUUUACCAGUGCACUGUAUCUUUGAAGAGAGAGAGAGAGUGUGUGUGUGUAGUGUAUAAGUUCUGUUAUCUGCAUUGGAGUCUAGUUCUAUUUAUCCUCAACUGUCUCUAUUGUGCAAAUGAUUUCCUCAAAUAUCUGAUGAUUCUUGCUUGUCCAUUCAUAUUUUAAAUACAGAAAUGUGUGAACUGAUUGUCAUGUGUUUCCUCAGCAGUCAUGAGCCUUGGUUUCCACUGCAGAUCUCACCUCUGGAGAAUGAAGGAUGAGGUUGGACUUCUCAGUUUCUGUCCAGAACAAGGAUGGAGAGGCUCAGCAGCACCAACAGGAACUCCUUAUGGAAUGGAAGCACAUCCAGGCUGAAGGCCCCUGUGUUCCAGAUGCUGUGUGAGUGUUGACCUGCCAGGCGACUCCACGAUGGCUUCCGUCCUCAGGUUCACCAUCAACUAAGACAGACUGAAGAUCAGCAGCACAAAGGCAUCUCUACGCCCAUCGGCCUGCCCCAGAGACCUCCCUGGCAUGGUGUGGUGGGGCAGCUGGUGUUGUGAAUCAGGCCGUUGCCAAUCAGAGAACGGCUACUUCACAACACCAGGGCCACACCACACUACAGGCAGCAUUCCAGCUCCAGAACCCGCAAGGGCGCCCUCUGGCGAGGCAGCUACACCCGUCACAGAGGACCCUCGGCUCCAGAACCCAGGCACGCGGCUUUCCAGUUCUGGGCUGGCUGCUGCAGCUCCCCUGCAGACACUGGCCUCCUGAGGCUGCUGUUUAUCCCCCAACACAAAUGCUCCACUUUUAAAGAAAAAGACACUCCUGGUAACAUUAGCUUCCUACAGAGAAAAUGGUGCUACCAGGUUUCCCACUGUGAAAAUGAAGUUAUGGGCCAUCAGGAGGGUUAAGCGCCACUCAACUGAACAUUUCCUCCUAGGUGCCAAAACACACAAUGGUUGCGGAGUUGGGACCUUUGUUUUGAUACUUGGUGAUGGUAGCUUUGAAUAGGGCAAAGUAGAGGGAAGGGAGGACCUAGUAAUAGGACGGUGGCCUCCUGGAGAGAGGAAGGCUCUUUGUAGCCACACAUGCAGGUAAUGCAUCCACUUCCUAGAUGGUCCCAGGGUCCCUGGAAAGCAAACACCUUUCUUGGCCAGGGAGAGUUCCACAGCUCUCCAUCAGUGCAUGUCCCAGUGACCUGAGGGCUGGACGAGAACCAAGCAUGGGAUUGUUCCUAGGGCACUGAUCUGCCAGACACUCCAUCAAAGGUAAUACUUGCCAUCACCUGUGCUGACAGAUGGGCUUCCUUUCCCCAGGUCCUUACAGCCAUGGACCCAGCAGAGCUGGAAAACUAAUGGAGGUCUCUAGAGUUGGAGUAGUAUUUUGUGCCUAACUUAAAUCUUAUAUGUGACAUCACCAUUUUUCAGAGCCCAAGCAAGAGUUUUCAAGAUAGAGUGGCUGGGUUGGCUGGUGUCCUUUCCAUAACGCUAAUAAAAAGGAGGAUAUUCCUCUCUCUAGUUUUCUACAGGACAAAGAUCCAGAGCCACUCUGAUUAACUCAGGCCCAGUCUAUAGUCUGUUUGUAUAGGGUUCUUGCUGCUCUGAAAACCAGAGAGACGGAUAAAAACAAGCACCAUGCAAACCUUGCAUAGCACCCAGGUUACAUAGAGCCUGAGUUAACCAGAGCCACCUGCAUCUGUAUCACCUUAGAAUUAUGGAGGGUGAGUCUACUUCUGUAAAGUUCUAUCCCUCACUCCAUCCCUAUAUCGUUAAGGGCAUCUCUGAAAUUUGUACUAAAUUAUGUUUAGGGACAAAUAUCUUCAAAGCAAAAUAGUCCCAGUUUUCAGAAAGGGCUUCUUGCUGUCUCCUAAGAAUUCAUCCAGUUACCAACUCCCCUACGACCAACGGAGUCCAAGCUAGAGCCACUCAUGGUGUGGUCCAUGGGUGGCAGCUUCAGCAUGUUGGAAAAGCAGGAUCCCAGGGACCACCAUGCACCUGCUCCAUCAGAAUCUCCAGUGGCCAACUCGGGGAACAUAGCCAGACCUAAUCUCUAUAAAGAAUGUUUUUAAAAAUUAGACAGGGGUGUGGUGGCACACACCUGUAGUCUCAUCAUCUCCUCAGGCAGCUGAGGUGGGAGGACGUUUUGAGCCCAGGAGUUUGAGGCUGCAGUGAGCAGAGAUUGUGCCACUAUACUCCACCUUGGGUAACAGCAAGACCCUGUUUUAAAAAAAAAAAUCUCCAGUGGGGACAGCAAGCUGGGCAGGAACUAUGUUACAGGCACUCCAGGGGAUGCUUCAAAACCACUUCCACCCUUUUUGGGUCUCCCCACAACCUCUCCAGCUUCCAUUUCAGCCUUAUCUCUUCCACAUGUUAUAACCAGAAUGAUCUUUUCAAAAUGCACUCCUAAAUCACGCAAAUGCCUCCCAUUCCUGGCCUUAUAACUGCUUAAAGGGUUGUCCUCACGCUAACUUCAGUGGGACCCAUGAAUGACAUCCACUCCCUUCCCUACCCUCCUCCCUUUUUAUAAGAUCCCUCUGGCCCCUGCCCCAGGGCCUUCGUUCAGCUCCACCCUAUCUAGAAGGCUCCCAGCUGCCUCCAGACUCCCAUCAUUGAUGCCUGACCGUCCUCCAAGUUUCAGACAGAGCCAACUCCCACUACCCAGAAGGCCAGGUCAGGUAACAGCUCUCCCGUGCACUCAGCAAGCUGAAUUCCAUCCCUUCAGAGCAUUCAUCUCAUUUUGUCAUUACUCGUUCAUUAGUGGGAAUCUUUGCUGAAUCUGUGUCUUUCCCACUGGUCAUAAGCUCCUUGAGGGCAGGAAUAUUCAGCUUCAUUCACUGCUGUACCCUCCAGCCUAGUUCAGUGUCUGGCACUGAGUAGACACUGAAUAAAUCUGUUCAAUGAAUGGAUGAGCACAGCCCAAGCCCAGCGUCCUUCAAGGUCAGACACUCUUGCUAUUUGUUGAAGCCCUGGGUCUUUGUUUCCUUUCAGUGGUAUCAUCAUUAAUAGCAGCAGGCAAUUACAGAAUAGAAACUGUGCCAGGCACUGCCCUGAGCCCUCCAUUUACAUUUAGCCAUGUACUCGGUACCUCCAUUUCCUCCUCAUAAGCAGGCAGGUCAUGUAACCACCCUAUCAGGUAAGUACCAAGACCACACCAUCCAUAUUGUUGGUGAUUGGUGUCGCUGCUGUUUAAACCCAAGCACUCUGGCCUCAGAGUCCAUGUGCUGAGCCACUGCUCCCUGCUGCUGAGGAGCCAGCAUGAAGGGGACAAAGCUGAUGAUGGAAGUCCAGGGCCGCUCCCAGGGACUGAGCAAAGCCUUCUCCAUUCUCAGAGGCUUCCACUCUGGUUUCUUAAACCAGGUAGACCAGGCAGUGUUCUCUCCCUUUGUGCAUUUGUAGAUUCUAACCUUGUUUAAAGCACUUCAUAAUGGAACCUGAUUAAAAACCUAAUAAAAUAUAAAAUGGGGUCAAGUCCAGAGAGAGAAUGAGAGAACCAUUUAAGAUCCAGAGGAUGCUCUACUUAAUUUUGGUAUUGAGCUGCUGAAUUCAUUUGAAGUUUGUACAGUGACCUUCAGAGGUUGAGACUGCAAAGGCAAAUUGUGCUCCCCACCCACCUCACCCCACCCCUGCCCAGAACUCUUUCCUCAAGGCUAGCCUAGGGGAGCACAACCUUGGGCUGCUUCCCCUGCAUGCUUAGAUCCAGCCAGAGCCCCCCUGCUGGGCCACAGACCUCCAUCCCCAUAGCGGCUUCUUUUCCAAAGUGCAUUCACCUCAUUGAGAACAGCCUCUCCCCUCCUGAACAUUCCAGACAUUCCACUCAGGCUGACUUAAUGCCACCUGGCCAGAAAAAAACAGUGUCCAUUCCCCCUUUUCUAAAACCUUGAUUUUGUGAUCGUUUGAACCUUUGAGUUUAGAAUCACUGUAUUAUAACUUCCUUGGGAUCCUACCUUUGCAGCUAGCCACAUUCCAAAUUAUAAGACUCUCUCUGGAAGCCCGUUGUAGACAACCAAAAGCCCUGAUGAUGUAAGGGAGCUCGCCAGACACACACUUUCAUACUCACCACCUUGUCUUAAGCUGCUUACCAUCUGCUGGCCCCAGUCAGCUCUUCUGGGAAAAGCUGCGUUUGGAAAAGGAGUUCCCCGAAUGUAUUUAAUAUCAAAUGGAGCAAUGGUUCUCAAAGUGUGCUCCCUGGAGCAGCAGCAGCACCAGCAUCUCCUGGGAACGCUUUAGACAUGCACAUCCUCCAGCCCCACCCACCCCUGCUGAGUUAGAAGCUCUGCGGUGAGGCCAGUGCACUCAAGUUUGGGAACUACCAAUAUAGAGUAAAAGAUGGGGGAGAAAACCCCUUGAGUAUCAAAUUUAGAAGGCCACAAUAGUGAAGCGUCUGUGCCUACUGUUUGCAGAAUGUGGAAGGUUUAGGGUGUUUACUACUGUAUGUUGAAUAAUGAUUCUCUUAAAACUUUUGUGAAUUGUAAAAGUAAAUCCCUAGGAAUGCUGGGCAGUGAUAACCUGACUCUCCCAUUUUCACCUGCAUACACAUACCCAGAACAUCCUUUUCUCCUUCACAACAGGGAAGUUGGAAGGUAAAAGUUAUUUUCUACCAAUAUAAAGUCUUAGAUUUUUAUUUACUAAAUUCUUAACACAGUACAUGGCACAGUUACCUUUUAAAGGCUUUCCAUUUCUUUAAUCUGAGCCCACAGCAACCCCAUUUUAAGGAGAGGAACUAGAGCCAGAGAGAUUUAGGAGCCAGCCUGUACCUCAGGAAUGAGAGACAUUACUUGCGGGAGCAGAGAUUUGAGCUCGGCAAUACUCCCAGACCCACACUUGCCCUUGCUUUUGAUUUUCUACCUCCCUAAUGAACAAGUGGGGAUCAUGAAAGUCAGCUGUGCCCAGCUUACUUAGAGCACCUGUUUCUGUCUGAGCAAUGAAAAGCCAUUUGAUUGGCGGUCAACUUGGAGAAACCUUGACCCUAAAAGAUAAUGCCAUAAAGACCAAACACACUGGGCGAUCAUAUCAUUUCAACUUGACAAAAUUUGUCGUACUCUUUUCUCGAGGUGGACUUCUUUUUUUGCUAGUGGCAGGGGUAGAUAUCCUUGUUUUGCUGGUAAUUAUCACCAUUUACCUUAGACUUCAUAGGUGGUUUUUUAUGUAUUCCUCAUGAAAGCCAUAGCCAAAGACCUUUUCAACCCCAAGCAUCUGUCUCUUGGUAGGUACUGGCUUCAGGCAAGUGGCUUCUCUCAUUAAGAAAAUACAGUAAUUUGAGUGUCAUUGCUACAAGGGAAGUGUUCCUAUGUACUCCAUCACACCAACUGCAGUGAGACUAUCAGGAAAGCUUUGGGUACCCUCCCCAGGAAAACUGCACAUCACUCUGCUGAAAUUUCAGGAAAAGUUUACGGGUCUCAAGGACAGAGUUGAAGUCAAAAAAUUUCACCUUCAUGUUAAUUUUUUAUGGAUUUUUUAAGGGUGGGGGGAGGCAAAAAGAUUUAUUUCACCAUUCCCUUUGUCUUCUUAAAACUCAGAAGAAACCUCACAGACCAAUGAGAGAGUUUGAAAUCGCUAUUUUAAGAGGCAUAGCAUAAAAGAAUUUUGAUAGAAAAGUAGAGCAAAAUAAGCAGUAAAACCUCAUCCCUAACAUUCUCCAGCUGCCUGACAUCCUGGUUCAGUUCCAGAGACUUGGACCACUGCUCCCUAGUUCCAGGGGGUGGCACAGGAGCCAAAAACGAGACCUGAGGCUGAAGCCCAACAGAAGAUGAAACUUGGGAGCAGCCUCAGCUUCGGGAAUCCUCACUUCCUGGCACAGCAGGUUUGGGUGCCACAGAGCCCAGGGCUAGACACCUGCCAGCAGUCCAUCAGUCACAGUCUCAGAUGAGUGGCAUCAAGGUGGAGCCCACUGAGGUGAAGGAAGGAGCUGUGAGGGACACCUGCAUCCUGCUGCAGAAAUGUCUGCCCCCCGCCUUGUCCCACCGCAGCUCUAUCUCACAGUUGGAGAAGCAGAAGCAAAGCAACCUGUCCUGGACCAUGCAGCCUGGUCCUCUGUUUCCAGAGCCAGAGGUCUUUGUGCUCUGAAACAAAGACAGUGACCCCAUUAACCCACUGGCACUUACUGUGUGCCAGGCACUCAGCCUGUGUUGUCUCAUUGCAGCACAGAGCAGCCCUGGGAAUGGAAGCAGUGUCAUCAUUCCCAUUUUUCAGGUGAGGCACAGGCUCAGAAAGGUCAAGAAACUUGCUCACGGUCUCACAGCUGGUGAGUAGGUUGUCAGACUCCAAAGAUGUGUGCUGCUAACCCUGCCCAAAGGGACUUCAUCCUCCUCCCUCCUUCCCAGGCAGUUCUCCCAACCACCCACCAACAGGCAACGUAGGUGUGAUUGCCUUCAAAGUUUUCUACUUGCCUUCAAGCUUGAAGCACUGGAGACUGAGGGAAGAGAGCACUGGAAGUGGAGGAAGAAAAAAGAGCUGUUCCCUCCAAGGUUGUUCCCUUGGGCCUGACUCGACUGGAAGAAGCAGGGUGUAUAUGUGUGUGUGUGUGUAAUUGACUUUGUGACCAUGAAACUGAGUUAAUACUCUUCUGUCUUUGCCUGUUUCUUCUUGUACAUCACCUAGAGGAAUACCCAUUAAUGUUUAGAGGCAGAGAACAAUAGAAAAUAGCACUGUUCAAGGACCAAAAAUUUAAAAAGACUGCUGACAUACAGCAUAGAAUGUGAAAGUCCCUGAUAAUCUUAUCCCUAGGGAUAACCACUUGCCAUUUUUUUACAAUUUCAAUUUUUUAUGAUUAUAAAAGUCAUACACAUUUAAAAAUACUUCAAAAUAAAUACAAAAUAAAAAUAAAUGCUUCAUUGCUUAGGUUACCUUGGUACAUGCAAGGUCUGAGACCACAUCCAUCAAUGCAGUUUGCUGCGUGGAUUACCAGAUCUCUCCAACAUUGACCUCAAUUUUUUACUCUGAGAGCAAACAGAAUGGGCAAGGGCUGACCUGAAAUCCUUUUGAAACACAAGCUGGAUCCUAGGGCUUUGACCUCCACUGCUCACUGCCACAUGGGAUCCGUCUCUGUGCCCCACUCUGCCCCAGCCCCACUGGCCUUCCUGCUGCUGCUCACACAGGCCUACUCUUAAGGCCUUUGCAUACUCUGUUCCCUGCAGAGGCCUCUGCCUCUGAACAAAUGUGGGACCCAUCUCUGCCAAGGCUGGGAAGCAAACAGCCCCCACUUUGCCUUGUCAGCCUGUGUUUGCACCAUUCCUGUGGUGGCCUCUCCCAGCUGCUUUCACGUGGGAUUUGAGCUCUGGGAAGCUGGAAGUUUGUGGAGUCCACUUCCCUCAUUUUGCAUAUAUGGAUGAUAAAGCCCACAGGCAAGGGCUCUGACAAAAGGAAAGAUUCCUUCCAUUUGGCAUUGUGAUGCAGAGGCUGUCACAGACAAGCCUGGGAAUUUGGGAUACAUCUUGCUGAGCCUAGAGACAGAAAAGAGCUUCUAGGCUGCCUUCCCUGAGCCCCGGGCCAGGCCCCUCCAGGACACACUUGCAUGGCACCCUGUUCUUUAAAACACUGCACACCAACGACUAUGCAAAGGAUUAACUGACUUCUCAAUAUUCUUGUUUUCUACCGAGUGAUAAGCUUCAGAAGGACAAGGUAUGAGUCCGUUUUGCUCUUUUGCCUUCCCCAGCACAUGGCACAAUGCCCAGCACAUAGUGUUUUGAGAGACAGCUGACUGGCUGUCUCAUACAAGGCCCUGCUCUGUUGGGCACAAGGGCUGCUUAACACAUUCCUAUGCUACAAAAGACAGUGCUCCUCUCCAGGAACCACCAAAUAAAUUCAGAUACUAAUGCCAAAAAGAAGGCAGCAUCAGCUUGGGAAAAGAGUGCCUUUAAGGCACUGUUUCUCUCUAUGAAGGCAGUGUGGAAUGAUAGGGAUGAUCUAGGACCUAGAGGAGAGACCUUAAGUCUUACUUGCAGCCAAAAGCCUUCAAACCUGAGCUAGCCAGAACUGUUACAUCAGAAUUCUCACCCAUGACAAGAAGCCUGGAGGGAGUCCAGGGUUGAUGGAUUGACUUAAGGUGUCAUCAAAAGCUUAGACUUUACCCUUCUGCUGCACCACCCUUAUUGCCUUGUUGUCACAAGAGGACUACUGCUGUUCAAGUCAUCACUUCCACAUUCCAGAAGGAAGAAAGGAGAGGUAGAGGGCCAGAAGUAUCCCCUCCUUUUAUCAGGAGCCAUUAACUUUCCCAGAAACUUCCAUGUCCACCCAGCAGACCUCCACUUACAUCUCACUAGGCAGAACUCCUAUCACUUGGCCACCCCAGCAGUCAGGGAAGCUGGAAGGGUGAGCAUUCAGCUAUAGAGAGUGGAAGCACAAGCAGCAAGGGAAGAACAGGUCAGUAAUUGCUGUAGAGUUUCCUGCCCAGCAGCAUCUGCCAAAACUAGGUAAAUUAUUUUUUAACAUAAUAGUAUUUUUGUGGAUUUUCUUACAAAAGCAAUGCAUAUAUAUUGUUACUUUGAAAAAUAAAGAUUUUAAAUCUUCAACAAGCCCAUUACUCAGGAGUGAUGACUGUUAUUCUUGGUUUAUUAGCUUUCUAGAUCUUUGUAUUUUUUUUAACGUGGGUAGAACCACAAUAUGGGUUGCUCUGAAAUUAGCCUUUACACUUGGCAUUGUGAAAAAUCUUUCCAAAUCAUUAAAUGUUCUCUGCAGAAUUACAUUUUAUGUAUUUGUGUUUUAUUGAAUAAGGCACAUAAUUUGUUUAUUCAGUCUCUUGGUGUUCGGCAUGUUUAUAACAGUAAAAUGUGAGAAACCAA